rnacentral:rRNA from 4 species
AAUCCCGUGAACCAUCGAGUCUUUGAACGCAAGUUGCGCCCCAAGCCUUCAGGCCGAGGGCACGUCUGCCUGGGUGUCACAAAUCGUCGUCCCCAUCCUUUGCGGAUAAGGGACGGAAGUUGGUCUCCCGUGUGUUACCGCACGCGGUUGGCCUAAAUCUGAG